GGUCAAGCUACUAAGAGCAUAGGGUGAAUGCCUUGGCACCAGAAGGCGAUGAAGGACGUGACAAGCUGCGAAAAGCUGCGGAGAGGCGCAAAUAGCCAUUGACCCGCAGAUAUCCGAAUGGGGGAACCCGGCCAAACUAAACAUUUGGUCAUCGUUACAUGAAUACAUAGUGUAACGAGGGCAUACGUUGGGAACUGAAACAUCUAAGUACCAACAGGAGUAGAAAUCAAAAGAGAUUCCGUAAGUAGUGGCGAGCGAAAGCGGAUUAGCCCAAACCGGGUGAUAGCAAUAUCAUCCGGGGUUGAGGACCGGCAUAAUGAUUCUCAAGUCAUAGCAGAAUGAACAGAUGGAAAGCUGAGACCACAGAGGGUAAAAGUCCCGUAUGUGAAAUGAUGAGAGACAGGCCGGUAUCCAGAGUACCACGAGGCACGUGAAACCUCGUGGGAAGCAGGGUGGACCACCAUCCAAGGCUAAAUACUAACUGGUGACCGAUAGUGAAGCAGUACCGUGAGGGAAAGGUGAAAAGAACCCCGGGAGGGGAGUGAAAGAGAACCUGAAACCCUAUGUUUACAAGCAGUUGAAGAGCGUUAAAGCUCGACAGCGUACUUUUUGUAGAACGGUCCGGCGAGUUAUUGUAUGCAGCGAGGUUAAGUACUGAAGGUACGGAGCCGAAGGGAAACCGAGUCUUAAAUGGGCGACAAGUUGCAUGCUAUAGACCCGAAACCGGGUGACCUACCCAUGGACAGGUUGAAGCGGGAGUAAAAUCUCGUGGAGGACCGAACCACAUGACCGUUGAAAAGGUCUGGGAUGAGCUGUGGGUGGCGGAGAAAUUCCAAUCGAACUCGGAGAUAGCUGGUUCUCCCCGAAAUAGCUUUAGGGCUAGCCUCAAGUUAGAGUCAUACGGAGGUAGAGCACUGAAUGGGCUAGGGGCCUUACCAGGUUACCGAACCCUAUCAAACUCCGAAUGCCGUAAUGAUGUUACUUGGGAGUCAGACUACGAGAGAUAAGUCCCGUGGUCAAAAGGGAAACAGCCCAGACCAUCAGCUAAGGUCCCAAAAUUACAGUUAAGUGGAAAAGGAUGUGGGCUUGCUAAGACAACUAGGAUGUUGGCUUAGAAGCAGCCACUCAUUCAAAGAGUGCGUAAUAGCUCACUAGUCGAGUGAGCCUGCGCCGAAAAUUACCGGGGCUAAACUGUAUACCGAAGCUAUGGAUCAGCGUGUGUUCAAUGGUGUACCUAGUGCAAAAGGCGGAUAGGACAUUUCACGAAAAGUUUCAUAAGAGAAUAAUUGAAAACUUUUCGUCAAAUUAUCCUUCAGCUAGAUGUAUACCGACUGAUAGUGUGAAACAAUAUCAGGUAAGAAACUAGGGACAGCAUUGAACACACGAGGGUGGUAGGGGAGCUUACUGUUGUAGGUUGAAGCAAGACCGGAAGGACUUGUGGACGAAGCAGUAGUGAGAAUGCCGGAAUAAGUAGCGAAAGUAAAGUGAGAAUCUUUACCGUCGAAAGCCUAAGGUUUCCUGGGGAAGGUUCGUCCGCCCAGGGUAAGUCUGGACCUAAGCUGAGGCCGAAAGGCGUAGGCGAUGGAUAACAGGUUGAAAUUCCUGUACUGCCGUUAAUCGUUAUGAGAGAGGUGGGGACGCAGGAGGAUAAGUCAAGCGAACAGCUGGAAAAGUUCGUGCAAGCGGGGUAGAUAGUCCGGUAGGCAAAUCCGCCGGAUGUUUCGAAGACGUGAUGCGGAGGGAAAACAAGUACCGAAGUGACCGAUUCCACACUGACGAGAAAAGCCACUAUCCAGAUUAAAGGUACCAGUACCGCAAACCGACACAGGUAGGUGAGGAGAGAAUCCUAAGACGAGCGGGAGAAGCGUUGUUAAGGAACUCGGCAAAUUGACCCCGUAAGUUAGCGAUAAGGGGUGCCUGCGUGAGCAGGUCGCAGAGAAUAGGCCCAAGCAACUGUUUAUCAAAAACACAGGUCUCUGCUAAAUCGAAAGAUGAAGUAUAGGGGCUGACGCCUGCCCGGUGCUGGAAGGUUACGGGAAUUGCUUAGCAAAUGCAACCGCAAGGUUGCUAUGCGAAGGCAUGAACUUAAGCCCCAGUAAACGGCGGCCGUAACUAUAACGGUCCUAAGGUAGCGAAAUUCCUUGUCAGGUAAGUUCUGACCCGCACGAAUGGCGUAAUGACUUGGGCACUGUCUCAACAACGUACCCGGCGAAAUUGUAGUACUUGUGAAGAUGCAAGUUACCCGCGACUAGACGGAAAGACCCCAUGGAGCUUCACUGUAGCUUGAUAUUGGGUUUCGGUAUUUUUUGUACAGGAUAGGUGGGAGACUGAGAAUUAGUGGCGCCAGCCAUUAAGGAGUCGACGUUGGGAUACCACUCUAAAAGUACUGGAACUCUAACCUGGAGCCAUAAACUGGUUUAGGGACACUGUCAGGUGGGCAGUUUGACUGGGGCGGUCGCCUCCCAAAGAGUAACGGAGGCGUCCAAAGGUUACCUCAGCGCGGUUGGAAAUCGCGCAUCGAGUGCAAAGGCAUAAGGUAGCCUAACUGCGAGAGAGACACCUCGAGCAGGUACGAAAGUAGGGCUUAGUGAUCCGGUGGUAUGAAAGUGGAAUUGCCAUCGCUCAACGGAUAAAAGCUACCCUGGGGAUAACAGGCUUAUCUCCCCCAAGAGUCCACAUCGACGGGGAGGUUUGGCACCUCGAUGUCGGCUCAUCGCAUCCUGGAGCUGUAGCAGGUUCCAAGGGUUUGGCUGUUCGCCAAUUAAAGCGGUACGCGAGCUGGGUUCAGAACGUCGUGAGACAGUUCGGUCCCUAUCUGUCGCGGGCGCAGGAUAUUUGAGAGGAUCUGUCCUUAGUACGAGAGGACCGGGAUGGACGAACCUCUAGUGCACCAGUUGUCAUACCAAUGGCACAGCUGGGUAGCCAAGUUCGGCAGGGAUAAACGCUGAAGGCAUCUAAGCGUGAAACCCACCUCAAGAUGAGAUAUCCCAUAGCGUAAGCUAGUAAGACCCCAUGUAGACUACAUGGUUGAUAGGUCAAGAGUGUAAGUGCAGUAAUGUAUUAAGCUGAUUGAUACUAAUAGGUCGAGGGUUUGACCCA
rfam:[Clostridium] hungatei strain DSM 14427 CLHTN_contig000051, whole genome shotgun sequence.